GUGCUUCAGCAGCUCCUUGCCCAGCGCGACACCUUGUUUCAAUACAUCCUCUCGUUCACUGUCUUUGAUAGGUUUCUUUGCUUCGUCCUUGAGAGCUCUGUACCUUUCCUCUAGUGAAGCACAGCCUUUCAAAAUGCCACAACGAGCACUGGCCACGGUUUUCUUGAAGACUAUCUUGGGAACAAGGAAGCUAUCAGGGAUCAGAUCAGGCUUUGAAACCAGCAGUAGCUGAUGACGGCAGGCGAUGUCAGGAACCGGGUACCUGUUUCAAGACGAUUUGUGAUUGCUAUAUUGCCAGAUCCAAAUCAACCUCCUUGUAAUGGAGAGGACGAUGCCGGAAGGUCAUAUCUAUGCUCAUUGGGGCCCAUGAUGACUCUAAAUAAUCCUUGACGAGGUCGUCUUCUUGGGUCUUUAUUGUUUAUAUAGAAGCACUCAGGAUGCAGGCAUGCGACACCGACAAACAAAUGCUGGGGCCGCGAGCAAUGAUGGCAUGGCAUUGGAUGGGUGGGCAUGGGGGCGAUGGCGAUGGCACUAGGCCUGGGUCUAGCACGAUAUCACACCCUCACUGUCUAUGGCCACCAGGAUCCAUGAUGGUCGAAUCUGCUUUGUUGUGAUAUCGUGCUAGGACACACCAGGAUCCAUGAAGACAAGGGCAAUGGAGGAAAGCAGGUGCCAACCCAACACAACCUGACCAGAUUCUUUGUCUACAAGUCCUAUGUGCAAAAUAAUAGUAGUACAGUAUAAUAUACCCAUCCUCGGUCCUGUUCCUUUAUUAGGUUGAUCCAUUGAUGACUCCUACUUUUGGUUUUUAUACUAGUUAUAAGCUCCUAGGUAUUUGUGUCACCUCUAUGUAACGAAAGAAUCAAUUUCUAGACUUGUCCUAAGUCAGAAUUUUUAAACUUUGAUCAAAUUUCUAGAAAAAAUACUAAAAUU